CGCCUCUUGAGAGAUAUAAGAGGUCCAGCCUGCCCAGUGACCUAGUUCAACGGCCGCGGUAUCCUAACCGUGCGAAGGUAGCGUAAUCACUUGUUCUUUAAAUAAGGACUAGUAUGAAUGGCACCACGAGGGUUUAACUGUCUCCUUUUUCUAAUCAGUGAAACUAAUCUCCCCGUGAAGAAGCUGGGAUUUUUUUAUAAGACGAGAAGACCCUAUGGAGCUUUAAACUAUUUUACACCUGCUGCCCACAAACCAACUUCCAGAAAUUAACCCUAAAGCAUAGCACUUUGAUUAAUAGUUUUUGAUUGGGGUGAUCGCGGAGUAAAAAAUAACCUCCACGACGAAAGGAUUUUUCCUGAGCUAUAAGCCACAGCUUUAAGCACUAAUAUUAUUAACGGCUAUUGACCCAAUAAUUUUGAUCAACGAACCAAGUUACCCUAGGGAUAACAGCGCAAUCCACUUCAAGAGCUCCUAUCGACAAGUGGGUUUACGACCUCGAUGUUGGAUCAGGGUAUCCUAGUGGUGCAGCCGCUACUAACGGUUCGUUUGUUCAACGAUUAAAAC
rnacentral:rRNA from 1 species